rfam:Burkholderiales bacterium 70-64 SCNpilot_expt_1000_bf_scaffold_366, whole genome shotgun sequence.
CGCGUUUUUCGCCCAGGCGGAGCUCGACCGCCGUCUGAAGUAGCGAUGGCAUUCAUCGACGAGAACAGGAGCUGUUACGGGGUCGAGCCGAUCUGCAGGAUCCUGCAGAUUGCUCCG